rnacentral:lncRNA from 1 species
AGGGCUAUACCUGCAGUUAUCUUGUGGGAAUUAUGGAAGAUGAGGAACUUAAGAAGACAUGACAAAGAUAUCACUUAGGCAGAAUGAUCCAGCAAGUUCAAACCACCAUUCAAUAUGUGAUCAAAGUGAAGUACACAUGGCUAUAUGACAGUCCAAAGGAUUGGAAUAGUUUUUGUAAUAUUUCUAGAAAGCUACAAAUCUAAAGUUUUCUACCAUGAAAUCAAAUAGGA